rnacentral:lncRNA from 1 species
UGUGGCGUCUCUCUGAACCCCCUCGACCGUCCGAGCUUCCAUAAUACCAUCCAGACUUCUCCGAUAAUGAGCUCCCCCAUUCAUCUACCGGACUACUCCAAAUGCUCCCUGGGCUUCAUUAUCAGCCGACUUUCUACAGUGAUUGGCUACCCUCUGAAUCUCUUCCAGACUUCUUCCGACCACGAACGACUUUACUCCGAACUUCUUUCGGACUUCAUCAAUGUUCGAGCUUCUCCAACAGCAGGAUUUCUAUAGUAGCC